rnacentral:rRNA from 1 species
ACGAGGGGUGCAAGCGUUAAUCGGAAUUACUGGGCGUAAAGCGAGCGUAGGCGGCUGAAUAAGCUGGAUGUGAAAAACCGGGGCUCAACCUCGGCCGUGCAUUCAGAACUGUUUAGCUAGAGUCUUGUAGAGGGGGGUAGAAUUUCAGGUGUAGCGGUGAAAUGCGUAGAGAUCUGAAGGAAUACCAGUGGCGAAGGCGGCCCCCUGGACAAUGACUGACGCUGAGGUUCGAAAGCGUGGGUAGCGAACAGG